CAGAGGUUUGAUCUCGGCGGACCAACAGCUACAAUCAUAGGCUACAAUGCUGCAGCUGGGAGGAGAUUAAACCCACGACUGAUGUGAACAAACGACGCAGCCGAAACACGACCGAGCAGUCCGCUUCACAUCCCGGGCCGACGUUGCAUAAACCACAGCACGAGCAAGAACACGCCACCGAACAAGGCUAAAUGCAGAACCAAAACAUCUGCAUGCCCACUGACCCGAUGUCCACCGGCCAUGAUUAAGGGGAAGCACCUGGAGAACGAUGAGCCAAGAGAGUACUAAUAUACAACGAUAAUGUUGCCUGUUUUGAGUACAGCCACCCAAGAUGAGGCCGACACUACGCAUGGCUGACACAACGCAUGAGAUGAGGCCCAUCAACCCUUCUCUGCCUCGCUCAGUGUCCCCACAUGGGACCCAAGCUGCAGCAGGGUGGCCGGUGAUGGGGAUGGGCCUGCUCGCUCUCUUCUGCUGCUGCUUCUCUUCAUGUGCGUGAAAGCCUCCGUCGGAGUACCAUAGACUCUGCUGUAGCAGGAACCACAGCAUACCACUCUGUUAACCCGUUGCUGUGUUCCCCUGGAUCUGGCUGAACAGAUUGAUGGGACAACACGUUUUCAGGAGAAGGGAGAACAGAGAAAAGCUUAUCUUGCUGCAUGGCGCUGUUGUCCUGUCUGGAGCAAUGUCCCCACUGGCAGGGUGAUCUAUGUCUGUUUCAGCGCUCUGCACCGAUGCAAUCUCCAGGGACACUCUGAGAGCAACAGGGCCACGACGCUCUGUGAUAAGAUCACUGAGCAAAGCUCUGCUAAGAGAUGCUGUUAAGCCUUCACAUUUUGCGCUUUUACAAUCUGCCCCUUCCCAAACGCUCCCGUCUGAUGCUGGUGUUAACGGGCCACACAGUUUCUGUUUGCAGAAGCGAAGAUUCGCCUGCAUGAUGUUGGAAAUGAGCUAAAAUAUGGAGAAGUGUGACAAUCAUACGCCUUGUAUUAUUUUAUGCUGCCACCAUCUGCCUCCUCUAUCAUCAUUGGUAGCAUUACUUGUUAGGCAUAAAAAUGUCUUUAUGGAUCAUUUCAAAAUAGAUAAUGGAAAGCUCUAUUUUUUUUGAUUGUGGCUUGUAAUUAGAUUUUUGUUUGGUGAUACUUAAC